rnacentral:lncRNA from 1 species
CGGAAAUGAAUGUGACUUAACGUUUUUUUCUGAGUUUUUUCGUUCAUCGAUGAUGAAAAUAUAUGUCAAUUCAAAGUAAUUUUAGUUUUUCCAUUUCAGCUAAAAAUUACGCACUCCAACUUUCCUGCCAAUUCGAGAUUCCAGUGGCAAAGCGCUUCAAUGGUCAGCUAAUAAAUCCGCCAUUUUGCGACAAUUGAUGAUAAGCCAAUUUUUCUGGUACUGUCCAAAUUAUUCGAGGUAUAUUUAUUAGUACCGAGGUGGUAAUCGGUGGUCGGAGGUGGAUGAGGAGGAGGAGGAGGAAGACGAGGAGAACAAGGUGGACGAGGAGGACGAGGAUUUGUGCUCGGUAUAAUCCGAGGUGGUUAUCGGUGGUCGCUGGAGGUGGUUGGCGUUGGUUGGAGGUGGUCGGAGGUGAUCAGGGGUGGUUGCGGGUGAUCGAGGUGGACGACGAGGAAGACGAGGAGAACAAGAUGGACAAGGAGGACGAGUAUUUGUUCCCAGAGUGAACGAGGCGGACGAGAAGGUGGAGGAGGACGAGAAAAACGAGAAGGACGAGGUGGACAUGGAGGAUAGAGAUGGUUGACAGUAGUAGGAGAUAGCAGAAGGUGAUUUGAGCUGGUUGAAGGUCGUUGGAGGUAGUUGGCGGUGAUAGGAGGUAGUUGGCGGUGACAGGAGGUAAACGAAGGUGGUCGAGAAUGAGACGGAGGAUAGAGAGGAGGAGGGAAAGGAGGAGGAGGACGAAGAGGACAAGAAGGACGAAGGUCGUCUCAGGUGAUUGAAGGUGGUGAGGUAGUCUGGAGUGAUGGGGCAGUGGGGUGUUAGGGUAGUGGGGUGUUGAGGUGUUUGGAUGUUGGGAUGAUGGGGUGUUAAGGUGGUGGGGUGUUGGGGUAGUAUGCAAGUGGGGUGAUGGGGCCCUUCCCUACCCUCCCCUGCCCUACCCUAAUC